GGAAUUUCAGAGGAGAAUAUAAGAAUCUGAAUACAGUAACUUUUUCUUCAGCAGUAAGGAGGACUGAAGAAAAGGAAGACUGAAGUGCUAGGAGAGGAAAGGAGAAAGAAGACAAGACUGAAAAGGGGUGAUCUGCUGAGGGAUGUUUAAGAACUAGUGGUUGUGACUCUUAAUUUCACUGUGCUUAAGAAGAAUCCCUUGUAGAGUCUGAAUCCUCCUGUCCAAUCCUUCACAAUUUUGCAAGGAUAACAUUUUGGACACGAAACCAAUCCAAAUAUGUGUGAUUGAAGAAAACUCUUCUAACACAUGUGACUCAAGACAGCUGUUUUUCCUGAACAGGUAUAUUUUUUCCACUGAAAAUUUGUUUUCUUAUUGAUCAUAUUAAACAGCAUAUAAGAUUCACUUGCAGUUCAUGAUCUUACUCAAAUCACAUAGCUCUGCAUGUAAAUUUCUUUUUCUUUUC
rnacentral:lncRNA from 1 species